rfam:Oryctolagus cuniculus chromosome 2, whole genome shotgun sequence.
CAUGGAGAAAGCGGACUUGGCUGGUGUGGUACAGAGAAGCCAGCUUGUUUACAUGCUUCAUCCAUG